rnacentral:rRNA from 1 species
CCCUUAGAUGUCCUGGGCCGCACGCGUGCUACACUGAUACGUGCAACAAGUUUACUUUCCUGGCUCGGAAGAGUUCGGGUAAUCUUCAUAAUGCGUAUCGUGCUAGGGAUAGAUCUUUGAAAUUAUGGAUCUUGAACGAGGAAUUCCUAGUAAGCAUAAGUCAUCAGCUUGUGCUGAUUACGUCCCUGCCCUUUGUACACACCGCCCGUCGCUGCUACCGAUUUUGAGUGAUCCGGUGAACCUUCUGGACUGUGCCUGGGCUUGACUCAGAUGUGGGAAAUUAAGUAAACCUUAUCACUUAGAGGAAGCAGAAGUCGUANCA